GCGGUCGUGGCGGAAUUGGUAGACGCGCAGCGUUGAGGUCGCUGUGAGGAAACUCGUGGAAGUUCGAGUCUUCUCGACCGCACCA
rnacentral:tRNA from 1 species